GAGAAUCGGAGACUCGAGUUCCAAACAUUCAUUAAGAACCACAACCAAAGCCCUUGGAAACAUACAAGAAAGUUGCAAGAGGAAUAACAUCGUAUAUUCUACCUAGUCAACAGGGUCCAGAGAAGACUGCCCAGAGUGACGUCUUUGACAACGUCCUGCCAAGCAACUUAUCCAAAGAGAAGAAUCUCGCUCAUCCCAGAGGUUUGAAAACGAAUAAAGGGAAACGUCACUCAGAUGAAGUCGGGAUACCAGAAGUGGGAGCUCUCAUGGGGUACCACUCAAGUUCAAAGACAGGAAGUAUCGUCAAUUACAAACCCAAACAGAAGAAGCAUCAGCAGGAAGAAUCCUCGAUUACAGGCCCCAACAGAAAAACAUAUUCGUUGCAUCUCCUGCAGGAAAUCAGCAACUUGGCAAUGAGAAACCGUCAUCACCCUGAACUUUCACUUUUCUCCAGUGGACUUGGGUUCAAAACAGCCUCCCUCAGCUUCCUCCUCUCUCUCUGUAAAACAAGGUUCCUUCCUCUCCUUUGUUUGUGGGACUUGCCUAUGGCUUUUGCUAUAGCUUGCUUGUCCUGAAUUGCCAUUCUUCCGCUAUUCCUGA